GCCUGGGAUAGCUCAGUUGGUAGAGCAUGAGACUGUUAAUCUCAAGAUUGUGGGUUCAAGCCCCAGAUUGGGUG